rnacentral:rRNA from 1 species
GUGUCAGCAGCCGCGGUAAUACGUAGGUGGCAAGCGUUGUCCGGAUUUACUGGGCGUAAAGAGCGCGCAGGCGGUCGUUCAAGUCGCGUGUGAAAGCCCCCGGCUCAACUGGGGAGGGUCACGCGAUACUGAUCGACUCGAAGGCAGGAGAGGGAAGUGGAAUUCCCGGUGUAGUGGUGAAAUGCGUAGAUAUCGGGAGGAACACCAGUGGCGAAGGCGACUUCCUGGCCUGUUCUUGACGCUGAGGCGCGAAAGCUAGGGGAGCAAACGGGAUUAGAUACCCCGGUAGUCC